rnacentral:lncRNA from 10 species
CUUGAAUCAGGGAGGUGGAGAUUGCAGAGAGCUGAGAUCAUGCCAUUGCACUCCAGCAUGGGUGACAGAGCGAAACUCCAUAAAAAAAAAAAAUGUAAGGGCUUGAAAAUAGUUUAUCAUCAUCAUUAAUUUAUUUCUGUAAACUCUUCCCCUUUCCUCUUUCCUCUUAGCAUAAUUGAACUUCCACAUGGAGGUCUGUUCUACUCCUGAUUCGAGUUUUGUAAAUAAUCUUUGUGGUAUUCUUUUGUGCCAAUGACAGCAGUUUAUUCUUCAGUUGAUCUUUUUGCCUCUUCUUCUUUUCCCCCAGCCAGCUUUCAAUGGUUAUAGAGCUUUAGCCUUCUGUGAAGAUAGAAAAAGCAUUCAUAUACUUUCCUUUGCAGAUCUAUCAUCUCCUUUCCAUUAAAGCAAUCCCUUGAUAUACCACAUACUCGAGUCUUAGUCAUUUCUUUCAAUAUGCAAUGCUGACUUGUUGGCAUAAUUUCAUCUCACUUACACAUUUUCAAACACAUUCUUCUCAACCUGAAGUCUGAGUAAGCUGGUAGCAAUGAAGACAAAAACAGUAUUCACCUUCAAUCACCAUAGUGUCCCAGCCCCUAGCUCAGUGCCAGCCAAAUAAUAAGAACCCACAAAUAUUUGGGUAAUGAAUGAGUAAAUGGGCUGUGUGUUGACAAGAGAGUAGCUGAAACGCUAAACUCAUUUGUUUUUUAGUGACAGUUACUAAGUGGGGAGAAUUCCAGGGGGAAUAAUGAUGGAGGACAGUGUGGAGUCUAAAGCCAAUGUGUGUGUGUGUGUGUGUGCGUGUUUGCGUGCAUGUGUGUGUGAGAGAGAGAGAGAGAUGUUCAGAGAUUAGCAGGAAGUACAGUUCAGAAUCAAAUAGCUUAAAGGAAAAGGAGGGAUUGGGACAUCACCCAUGGUAAAGGGUUCUGAGAAGCUACCCUAUUGAUUCAUAGAGGGUGUUCAGAGUCCCGUGUUUUAGUGACCCCAGUUCCACCUAGACCCAGCUCCAGGCAUAAUAUGUUUGACAAAAUGGCAGGACAGUGAAAGGGUCAUUAAAGUACUUUAUUUGUAUCAUGAAAAGAUUGACUUAUAAAUCUUCAUUAAAUAUUUGCCUUCCUAGCCAGACAUAAGCUCCAUAAAGACAGGCGCUGGCCCUCAGGGAGCAAGUGAACUGGCAUGGUGCCUGGCGCCCAGCAGUUCCUUCAUGAAGAUUUCAGAAUGACCAAGUGAGUUGAAUGCACAGCCCAGGCAUCUGUGUUUUCACACCUCUCCAGGGUCUGUUCCAUUAUUCACGUAGAAAAACCUGUUAACUAUUGUGAAGCAGCCUUGUAUCUGUAGCUGCCACACACUUCUCAAUGACCUUCCCUUUCCAAGUUGAGUUUUGCACCAUGUCAACAAGUGGCAGCUUUCUAGCAUCAAAUUGUUUGUCCAGGGUUAUCAGCAUUACUUUCUUUUCUUGUCCUCACUACAAUACACAUGCCCAUCUCAAAUCAGUUCCAUUGUUACUUAGGUAAUAGUAUUGUAGGGUGUCUUUACUUCAGAAAGAAUGAUAUAUUUAGCAAAUGUUACAGAUAUAGGAGGUUUUAAGUGGGACUAAAUGCAGCAAUUAAUGCUAAUGAGUCUGCUGUUAGCAUGUAAUAUUCUUGGUGUUAUAAUCAUGCAUCACUGAAUGCGAAGCCUCAGUUUGUGCAACAGAUGCCGAUCUUAAUGGCUAUAUUCUCUUCCCAUGGAUAAGCUAGCUUUAGUUAAAUGAAUCAUUAAGAAUAACCAUUUAAAAUGUUAAUGAAAACAGUGAUUAUAACCACCAAGAUUUUUUUUUUAACUUCUGGCUCUAUUACUUUUUAUUUUCGAAAGGACUUUGGGAAGGUAAGAAACUUAUUGCCUGUGUAUGUUGUUUUAAACAGAGAAGGCCGAUACAGUUUCUGUUCACAGCAGCCCUGAGGCCGCAUGCCUGUAUUAUUAACACCAACCGUACUUGGAGACUAACUCUCUUUUGUUCUCAUUUGUCAUUUCUUUUAAAUAUUCAUUUAGGGUAUAAGACAGAAUUGGGUAAGUAGGAUCCUUGACAGUCCAACUAGUUGGUAAACAAAUAUUUUGUCUUCCUGAAAGUAUCAUUAUACUAUCGCAAAUUAAGACUGAAAAGGAAAAAAAUACCAGGAUGUUGAUAUUUAAGAAUAAAUACUUUAUCUUUUCAGAACAACAAUAAGAAGGCUGGUUUAGGCUUUAUCGCUGGAAAAUGGAGUUUGUGAAACAAAGAAGUAAUAGAUGCAUAGCAAGAGCUCAGUGUCCUUCCACAUUGUGUCACCGGUUGUACCCUGAGACAGAUUCUCCAAGUCUUAGAACAUGGAUAUGCAGUGAGAGUGAGGUUUACGUAGAAAAGUCUUUGUGUCUUGGGAGUGCCAUGUGUAUUGAAUGUCUAUGACUCAUGUCUCCCCUUGACUCACUUCUUGGCUGGGCUACAUGACUCAUCAGGCCUGGUAGGUUCAGGGCAGUGUAGCUGGUGGGGAAGGGCUAAGUGAAGAGGGGCUGUCUAGACCUGGGGAGCAUGGUUAUAAUGAGCUUUUUCAAACGUACAACUCAACUCUCUUGCACCUAGGAAGUAUCUUCAUCCAGAAGGAGUUCUCAGUCCUUUUUCUGAUUUUAACACUGCAGUCAACUGCAGACAAAGCCGCAAUCUUGUGACUUCACAGAGCCUCAUGGGCUUUUGAGUUGACCAACUUGAGAAAAAUUUCUGACUUGAUGCAUGAAAUGAAACGAAGGCAGGUGACACAUAAAGGAAAUGACAAGACACGAUUGAAAACUAUUGACCCUCAAGUUAUCACAAAUGGUUAUGAAAUGGAAAUGGAAUGGGAAGGAGUAUGAAAAAAUAAGCUGAAUACUGACAAACCUAAGAUCAACAAUCAGGUCGUAAAUGGGAGUUGGAGCCGGAUGAUCAAAAAGAACUUUAGAAAAAUGGGAAUAAAAGCAAGAGCUGAUGAGUUUGAAAUGAAAGCCCAUCUGGGAGAGCUCUUCUAAUGAACUCAGCCUACUCAAACUGUACAAAGAAAGCUGAAGAAUGAUUGCAGCUGCAAUCUCCAACCUACAUAAAGCACUAACGCUGGUAAGGUGAUGAAAGUGAAGGGAGGUAACUGGUAUCUGGAUUUGGAAGAGAGAAGUCAAAGGCCAUCACCCCCUUGUACUACUGCAUUCACCAUGUAAGUUCCUUCGGAAAUUUCACAGCCAAUCUGAAUUAAAGAGACAGCUGCAGAUGCUUCAGGAUGAAGGUCACACUCUGAAUUCUACGAAGAGCCCUAUGAUUCAAAAGUACCAUCUCUUUAGCCUCAGAGCAGUUGUAUACCACCUUCUCACUUGCUCUGUCCCUGGGCUAGUAUGGCUUUGAAAUUAUGUUAAAGAAGAGGCAUUUUCCCUCACAAAGACUCCCAAAAUAUGACUAUUAAGUGAAAGAACAGGUAGAGGGAGGGAAAGAGCUGAAUCUAAGUGGAGAUUAAUAAAGUGUUGUUUUGAAAUUGUUCCUUUAUUUUUCCUGGGUUAAUUAUCGCCAUUUAGUCACGACUUCCUGACACAGCACCAGAAAUUUUGUUGAAAUCUUAAUAUUCUGCAGGAAACUGACCUGACUACCAGCAGGAAUUAUAUUGACUAAUUAAUAAUGUCCAGUCUCCCUCAAGGAUAAGUCACCUCUGUCUGGCUCUAUCAUGGCCACUCUUAGAAUGAUGGUGAUGGUCCACUGAUUGUCACAUCCAAUGAAUUUAUCUGAAGUAUUUGUCCUAUGUAACCUCUUCAAAGCUUUCAGCGCCAGUCACCACCCAGUUUUCAUUUUCUUGUUUCUCUUCCUAACUCUCUCACAAUUUCUCAAUUUCCAUAAUUGUCUCCUCUUUCUCCAUGCACACUUUUAUACAUUGUUUUUCUCCAGGAUUGUACUUUUCUCCUGAUCUCACAGAGCACUCCUAAUACAGUGUUGGUUUUAUUUACAUUUAAUAUAAUUGAAAUCUGAAAUGGUAUACUCAGCUGCUCCAUGUAGAUAUUUGAGGGUACCUCAAAUUCAACAUGUCCUGAGCUGAAACUCAUCAUCUUCCACUUUACUUUGGUUCUUCUUCUAAAUUCCCUGUUAUCAGUUAAUGGAACUCUAAUUCAUCUAUAAAUUUAAGCUAGUAUCCACAGAAUUAUUAUUUUUGGGGGGGUGGGGGGUGGGGUACAGAGUCUCACUCUGUUGCUCAGGCUGGCUUGCAAUGGCACAAUCUUGGCUCACUGUAACCUCUGCCUCCCAGGUUCAAGCAAUCCUCCCAGCUCAGUCUCCUGAGUAGCUGGGAAUACAGGUGCAUGCCACCACACCUGGCUAAUUUUUGCAUUUUUAGGAGACACGGUUUCAACAUGUUGGCUAGGCUGGUCUCAAACUCCUGACCUCAAGUGAUCUGCUUGCCUCAGCCUCCCAAAGUGCUGGGAUUACAAACGUAAGCCACCACCCCCAGCCAAAGUUAUUCUUAUUUCCUUCUUUUUCUUCAUGUGUCUUAUGUAGUCAUAUAUUAUUUUACAUUUUUUCUAAUUUUUAAAAAAUUAUUUAAACAAAUUUUUAGCACACACCACCUUUGUUAUUCUCAUAAAUUGACCUCUACUCUCCAUCGUCACUUCCACUGCCUUUGUUCAGUGCCUUGUCAUUUGUUACCAGCAUCACUACGUAGAUUUCCAACUGGUGUUUUGGUCUGCGAUAUUGUAUCCCCUUACCCACAGCUAUUCCAUCUGUCUUUCAUAGUGAACAGAAUGUACAUACAUAAAGUUGAUCAUGUACUCAUCUUAUUUAAAUGUUCGUGGUCUUUUUACCUGUAAAAAUCCAAAUAGAUUAGUAAAACAUCAGUUCACUUAACCUAGCUUUCCAACCCCGAUCUCUUGACAUUACACUCCUUUUGCUAUGAAUUUUAUGCUUUAUUCAGACUUCAAUCUCACCCUUUCUAGAUCUGGUUUUUCCUUUUUAUUUAAAAUGUCUUGUUUGGCAAGCUCCUGCUUACUAUACAAAAUCUAUCUCAGAUGUGCCCUUCUCUGUGAUUCAUUCUCUCCAAUUUCCCUAGUUGAUUCUCAGCUUAUGCUAGCAUUUUAAGUCUUUGUUUUUCUGCUUUUCAUCACUAUUUUAAGAGUGGGCCCAAACCAUGUCUUCUCAACUUUUGCAUCUCUAUUGCCUAUCAAAGUUCCUUACACAAAGAAGUUUCUAGAUAAUUACUCAAUGGAUGAAUGAAUACAUGGGAGUCUUUUGCCUCUCAUCUCACAUUUAUAAGAGUGUCCCCACUCUGAUGUACCUUGAAGGUGGAAGAAACUUACUAUUCCAAGUGGUGUUGAAAGCGGAGAAGUUGUGACAGGACAAGAAGUGUUUUUCUAAUCUAAACCAGGUAUCUUAUUUCCCUAUAUUUGCUUCUAUCAUUUUCUCUACUCCUCUAGGUCUAGAAAAAUGAUGAUAUCUAUGAUACAUCUACGUUAUACUAUAAUAGAUAUGUGAAACUAAAUUUUUUGUCACUCUUUUAAAUUGUUUUAAAUUGACAUGUAAUAAUUGUGCAUAUUCAUUACAUGUGAUGUUUCAAUACAUAUAAUGUAUAGUGAUCAGAUCAGGGCAAUCAACAUAUACAUCAUCUCAAACAUUUGUCAUUUCUUUGUGUUGAGAAGGUUCAAUAACCUACUUUUAGCUAUUUGAAAUUAUAUAUUAUUGUUAACUCUAGUCAUCCUAUCUUGGUACAGAAUGCAUUAGAACUUAUUUCCCUUAUCUAGCUGUAGUUUUGUAUUCUUUAACAAAUCUCUUAUCAUCCAAACAGUAAAUUAAAAAAUAAAUACAAUAUGCAGGGGAAACUGCAUAACUCAAAUUCUAAAAAUAUGCUUAAGAGUGAAAACAAAAACUGAUUUCGAAUAUAUUGAUGCCCUUUCUGUAUUUGGUAGACUUAAAUAUGAACAUUUGUAUUAUCUUUUGUUAGUGUCUCUUGACUUAGAGGCUUAUAUUUAAGGAUCCCAAUAAAUAUUUUUUAAUCCAUACUCAAUGUCAUACUGAGGACUAACCACCUAUGAGUUUAUAGAGGGAUUGUGAUUAGAUCAUAAUCAGUUUUCUCACUGAUCUAUUGAAGCAGGUUAAUUUGGUCUCACAGAACUUUAAAAUUUUUUCUUUCUCUACUUCAUUUCACUGUGAAAUUAGCAAUUAUUUUUUCCUGUAAGGUAAUAAUAUGAUCAAGAAGAAAAACAGGAAGGCUGAUAAAGAGAUAUGUACAGUAGAAUUUUCUCCACUGAUCCUUUGUCUGGAAGGCAACUAAAAUUUAGGCAGUCCAGAUUCUUUCAGUCAACAGGAGGCACUGUAGUUAUUCAGAUAAAACUAUGUUUCAUUCCUUAAUUUUGGUAAAUACCAUCCUAUAUUUAUUUUCUUGGAUUAUUAUAAAACACAAUCUCAGAAUUCUGUAUAUCACAUCUGAAUCUGCAAUCUGAAUUAAGCAAAAGAAAAAACUUAGAAUGAGAUUAAUUUUAUUUGUCUAACUGACUGGGCUAAGUGGUGCUUAGACAGUUGUUUAAACAUUAUUCCUGGAUGUGUCUGUGAGGGUGUUUCUGGAUGAGAUUAACAUUUGAAUUGGUAGACUGAGAAAGCAGAUUGAUCUUCCCAAAUGUGGGUAGGCCUCACCUAAUCCAUUGAAGGCCUGAAUAGAAUAAAAGGCUAAGUAAGAAAGAAUUAUCUCUCAUUACCUGCCUUCAAGCUAGGACAUUAGUUUUCUCCUGCCUUCACACUUGGACUUGGACUGAAAUUACUUUCACACUAUCAGCUUUCCUGAGUCUUCAGCUUAUUGGCUGUAGAUUUUGAGACUUCUCAGCUUCCAUAAUCAUGUGAGCCAUUUUAAAAUUUUAUCUAUCUAUCUAUCUAUCUGUCUGUCUGUCUGUCUAUCUUCUAUGGGUUUUGUUUCUCUGAAGAAAUCAGACUAAUACAGUAAGUUUUAACAAAAUAUUUUAAGUAAGCUGAGCUUAGCUCAAUCAAAUGAAUAAUAAUACAUUAUUGUCUUUUAUACCUUGCUCUUUAUCACACUCUAAGAAGAUAUUUCUUAAAGUCCUUAUUCUCUUAUCCUCAAUCACAGUAUUACCCACCCCCCCAAAAAAAACUUUACUAAAGGAAGUUGCUGCUGUAGCUCAUCAACAUAUGUCCUUAUAUUUAAAGAAUAUUGGUGUGUAUAGCUUUAGUCAGAGGUGGAUUAUCUAGUUUCUUUACUAUAUUAAUCAUUGUAUUCUGUCCUGAGACUAGAAUAUACUGAUAUAAUAGACAGUGUAGACUGGGCACAGUGGCUCACACCUAUAAUCCCAGCAUUUUGGGAGGCCCAGGUGGGCAGAUCACUUGAGGCCAGGAAUUUGAGACCAGCCUGGGCAACAUGGCAAAACCCCUGUCUGUACUAAAAAUACAAAAAUUAGCCAGGCAUAGUGUCACAUGAUUAUAGUCCCUGAUACUUAGAGAUUGAGAUACAGAAUCGCUUGAACCUGGGAGGCAGAGGUUGCAGUGAGCUGAGAUUAUGCCACUGCACUCCAGCCUGGGUGACAGAGUGAGACUCCUUCUCAAAAAAAAAAAAAAAAAAAAAAAAGAAAGACAGUGUACAUAUCAUAUAUUUUUGUUCAUGUGUUCUUUCUGUGUCACUUCCUCUCAUUCCAUCUUUUUUUUUUUUUUUUGGCUAUAUUCUUUGCUUUGAGGACAUGAGUCAAUGUAAGAAAAUGGCUUAUUUAUAUAUCCUUCCCUUUUUGCUCUUAUGCAGUGUGAGUCCCUUAAAGUCCCUUAAUCUUUAUGAACAUUCUUCUGUCUAAAUAAGACCUUGUGCCAUGUCACACGAUGCUUCACAUUAAAAUUAUACCUCUGCUAGACUGUAAAAUUAAGGAAGUCAGAGUCCCUAAUUUAUUUUUUCUAAGUGUAUCAGUGCAGUAAUGAUUUGAGUGCACAAAAAUCCUACGGGUAUUCAAUAAAAAAUUCUGUAACAAUAAAGAUAAUUUCAAAAAUAAAAUUUCUGAUUUAUCAUUGUACCUUUGUAUAAUACCUGAAUCACAGAAUACUGUGACAGAGGGUAAGAAAAUAGGAACUUUAUGAAAUAUGCCCUGAGAGGACAGAAUCAGAGUGGAAGUGAUCAAAGAAUGCAUUGUUUAUUAAGUAGAAAGCUUUCUCUAAGUGAGCCCACGUAGAUUUCUUUCCCCAUC